rnacentral:rRNA from 1 species
UUAAGUUAUUAAGGGCGCACGGUGGAUGCCUUGGCACUAGAAGCCGAUGAAGGACGUUACUAACGACGAUAUGCUUUGGGGAGCUGUAAGUAAGCUUUGAUCCAGAGAUUUCCGAAUGGGGAAACCCAGCAUGAGUUAUGUCAUGUUAUCGAUAUGUGAAUACAUAGCAUAUCAGAAGGCACACCCGGAGAACUGAAACAUCUUAGUACCCGGAGGAAGAAAAAGAAAAUUCGAUUCCCUUAGUAGCGGCGAGCGAAACGGGAAGAGCCCAAACCAACAAGCUUGCUUGUUGGGGUUGUAGGACACUCUAUACGGAGUUACAAAGGACGACAUUAGACGAAUCAUCUGGAAAGAUGAAUCAAAGAAGGUAAUAAUCCUGUAGUCGAAAAUGUUGUCUCUCUUGAGUGGAUCCUGAGUACGACGGAACACGUGAAAUUCCGUCGGAAUCUGGGAGGACCAUCUCCUAAGGCUAAAUACUCUCUAGUGACCGAUAGUGAACCAGUACCGUGAGGGAAAGGUGAAAAGCACCCCGGAAGGGGAGUGAAAUAGAACCUGAAACCGUGUGCUUACAAGUAGUCAGAGCCCGUUAAUGGGUGAUGGCGUGCCUUUUGUAGAAUGAACCGGCGAGUUACGAUUUGAUGCAAGGUUAAGCAGUAAAUGUGGAGCCGUAGCGAAAGCGAGUCUGAAUAGGGCGUUUAGUAUUUGGUCGUAGACCCGAAACCAGGUGAUCUACCCUUGGUCAGGUUGAAGUUCAGGUAACACUGAAUGGAGGACCGAACCGACUUACGUUGAAAAGUGAGCGGAUGAACUGAGGGUAGCGGAGAAAUUCCAAUCGAACCUGGAGAUAGCUGGUUCUCUCCGAAAUAGCUUUAGGGCUAGCCUCAAGUGAUGAUUAUUGGAGGUAGAGCACUGUUUGGACGAGGGGGCCCCUCUCGGGUUACCGAAUUCAGACAAACUCCGAAUGCCAAUUAAUUUAACUUGGGAGUCAGAACAUGGGUGAUAAGGUCCGUGUUCGAAAGGGAAACAGCCCAGACCACCAGCUAAGGUCCCAAAAUAUAUGUUAAGUGGAAAAGGAUGUGGCGUUGCCCAGACAACUAGGAUGUUGGCUUAGAAGCAGCCAUCAUUUAAAGAGUGCGUAAUAGCUCACUAGUCGAGUGACACUGCGCCGAAAAUGUACCGGGGCUAAACAUAUUACCGAAGCUGUGGAUUGUCCUUUGGACAAUGGUAGGAGAGCGUUCUAAGGGCGUUGAAGCAUGAUCGUAAGGACAUGUGGAGCGCUUAGAAGUGAGAAUGCCGGUGUGAGUAGCGAAAGACGGGUGAGAAUCCCGUCCACCGAUUGACUAAGGUUUCCAGAGGAAGGCUCGUCCGCUCUGGGUUAGUCGGGUCCUAAGCUGAGGCCGACAGGCGUAGGCGAUGGAUAACAGGUUGAUAUUCCUGUACCACCUAUAAUCGUUUUAAUCGAUGGGGGGACGCAGUAGGAUAGGCGAAGCGUGCGAUUGGAUUGCACGUCUAAGCAGUAAGGCUGAGUAUUAGGCAAAUCCGGUACUCGUUAAGGCUGAGCUGUGAUGGGGAGAAGACAUUGAGUCUUCGAGUCGUUGAUUUCACACUGCCGAGAAAAGCCUCUAGAUAGAAAAUAGGUGCCCGUACCGCAAACCGACACAGGUAGUCAAGAUGAGAAUUCUAAGGUGAGCGAGCGAACUCUCGUUAAGGAACUCGGCAAAAUGACCCCGUAACUUCGGGAGAAGGGGUGCUCUUUAGGGUUAACGCCCAGAAGAGCCGCAGUGAAUAGGCCCAAGCGACUGUUUAUCAAAAAACACAGGUCUCUGCUAAACCGUAAGGUGAUGUAUAGGGGCUGACGCCUGCCCGGUGCUGGAAGGUUAAGAGGAGUGGUUAGCUUCUGCGAAGCUACGAAUCGAAGCCCCAGUAAACGGCGGCCGUAACUAUAACGGUCCUAAGGUAGCGAAAUUCCUUGUCGGGUAAGUUCCGACCCGCACGAAAGGCGUAACGAUUUGGGCACUGUCUCAACGAGAGACUCGGUGAAAUCAUAGUACCUGUGAAGAUGCAGGUUACCCGCGACAGGACGGAAAGACCCCGUGGAGCUUUACUGUAGCCUGAUAUUGAAAUUCGGCACAGCUUGUACAGGAUAGGUAGGAGCCUUUGAAACGUGAGCGCUAGCUUACGUGGAGGCGCUGGUGGGAUACUACCCUAGCUGUGUUGGCUUUCUAACCCGCACCACUUAUCGUGGUGGGAGACAGUGUCAGGCGGGCAGUUUGACUGGGGCGGUCGCCUCCUAAAAGGUAACGGAGGCGCUCAAAGGUUCCCUCAGAAUGGUUGGAAAUCAUUCAUAGAGUGUAAAGGCAUAAGGGAGCUUGACUGCGAGACCUACAAGUCGAGCAGGGUCGAAAGACGGACUUAGUGAUCCGGUGGUUCCGCAUGGAAGGGCCAUCGCUCAACGGAUAAAAGCUACCCCGGGGAUAACAGGCUUAUCUCCCCCAAGAGUUCACAUCGACGGGGAGGUUUGGCACCUCGAUGUCGGCUCAUCGCAUCCUGGGGCUGUAGUCGGUCCCAAGGGUUGGGCUGUUCGCCCAUUAAAGCGGUACGCGAGCUGGGUUCAGAACGUCGUGAGACAGUUCGGUCCCUAUCCGUCGUGGGCGUAGGAAAUUUGAGAGGAGCUGUCCUUAGUACGAGAGGACCGGGAUGGACAUACCUCUGGUGUACCAGUUGUCGUGCCAACGGCAUAGCUGGGUAGCUAUGUGUGGACGGGAUAAGUGCUGAAAGCAUCUAAGCAUGAAGCCCCCCUCAAGAUGAGAUUUCCCAACUUCGGUUAUAAGAUCCCUCAAAGAUGAUGAGGUUAAUAGGUUCGAGGUGGAAGCAUGGUGACAUGUGGAGCUGACGAAUACUAAUCGAUCGAAGACUUAAUCAA